AUUGAACGCUGGCGGCAUGCCUUACACAUGCAAGUCGAACGGCAGCGGACCUUCGGGUGCCGGCGAGUGGCGAACGGGUGAGUAAUGUAUCGGAACGUACCUUUCAGUGGGGGAUAACGUAGCGAAAGUUACGCUAAUACCGCAUAUUCUGUGAGCAGGAAAGCAGGGGAUCGCAAGACCUUGCGCUGAUUGAGCGGCCGAUACCAGAUUAGCUAGUUGGUGAGGUAAAGGCUCACCAAGGCGACGAUCUGUAGCGGGUCGGGGAGGAUGAUCCGCCACACUGGAACUGAGACGCGGUCCAGACUCCUACGGGAGGCAGCAGUGGGGAAUUUUGGACAAUGGGGGCAACCCUGAUCCAGCCAUGCCGCGUGAGUGAAGAAGGCCUUCGGGUUGUAAAGCUCUUUCGUCCGGGAAGAAAUCGCAUCAGCUAAUACCUGGUGUGGAUGACGGUACCGGAAUAAGAAGCACCGGCUAACCACGUGCCAGCCGCCGCCGUAACAC
rnacentral:rRNA from 1 species